UUUGGAAAGAUGAAACCUCGUUAUGAGAUCAACUCCCUUAUUAGAUAUCACUGCAAAGAUGGUUUCAUCCAGCGUCAUAUUCCAACUAUCCGGUGUCAAGGGAAUGGAAGAUGGGAUAUGCCUAAAAUUACUUGCAUGAAUCCGUCCACAUACCAAAGGACUUAUUCUAAGAAAUAUUACUAUAAACAUUCUUCAUCAGGAAAAGGAACACCAUUAAAUUCAUCAAAACACUAUCAUCGCUGGAUCAGGAUGUGGCAGGACUCAAGGCGCUAAAUGUUAAAUGGUGAAUAGGGAUUU